UCAAUGAGUAGAGAAAUCUGCAGAGUACAAUCAACCUCUCUUUAUGGCUUUCAUGGACUAUGAAAAAGCAUUUGAUUCAGUAGAGAUACCAGCAGUCAUAGGGGCACUGCAAAAUCGAGAACUACAGGAGGCAUACGUGAAAAUCUUAGCAGAUAUCUACAAAGAUUGCACAGCAACCUUGGUUCUCCACAAGAAAAGUAGAAAGAUGCCUAUCAAGAAAGGGGUCAGGCAAGGAGACACAAUAAUAAGACAAUUACAGCUAAUGAUUGAGGACCUUUAACGAGAAAGUGUAAGAGUGGGGUUGAAGAUUAACAUGCAGAAGACAAAGAUAAUGUUAAGGAGCCUGGCAAGAGAACAAGAAUUCAGGAUCGCCAGUCGUCCUCCAGAGUCUGUAAAGGAAUACGUUUAUCUAGGUCAAUUACUCACAGGGGACCCUGAUCAUGAGAAAGAAAUUGACAGAAGAAUAAAAUUAGGUUGGAGUGCAUACGGCAGGCGUUGCCAAAUUCUGACUGGAAGCUUACCACUGUCGUCGAAAGGAAAAGUGUACAAUCAUUGCAUUCUACCGGUACUAACUUAUGGGGCAGAAACUUGGAGGUUAACAAAGAAGCUCGAGAACAAGCGAAGGACAGCACAAAGCGAUGGAACGAAAAAUGUUAGGCCUAACGUUAAGAGACAGGAAGAGAGUGGUGUGGAUCAGCGAGCAAACUGGGAUAACUGAUAUUCUAGUUUACAUUAAACGGAAAAAAUGGAGCUGGGCAGGCCAUGUAAUGCGUAGGAUGGAUAACGAAUGGACCAUUAGAGCUACAGAAUGGAUACUACGAGAAGGGAAGUGCAGUCGAGGACGGCAGAAAACUAGGUGGGGUGAUGCAGUUAGGAAAUUUGCAGGUGCAAGCUGGAAUCUGCUAGCGCAAGACAGGGGUAAUUGGAGAUCACAGGGAGAGGCCUUCAUUCUGCAGUGGACAUAAAUAUAGGCUGAUGAUGAUGAUGAUGUUGCAGUCAAAUGAAACCAAGGGCAGCAACCUUAUAUGGAGUUAGAAGGCCUCAAGAGGACACUGCAAAUUGUGUAGCUAAUGGCCUCGCGAUUUCAACUCUGGUGACUGACCGUCACUCAGAUAAAGACAUUUACAUCAAAGGAGACCUGCAUAGAGCGCAACUUUGAUUGCUGGCACGUCGCCAUGAGUGGGUUCUGCUUUAUUAUUUUUUUUAUAAGCAGAAAUACCAGUGCUUUAAACUGGUACUUGUCGAGAAUUAGCGACAUUUUGUCGAGAAUUGUCGAGAAUUAUCGAAAUUUUGUACAGUGGGCUCAAAAAGAAGCUGACAGCAGCAGCGGAGCUUAAAUUUCAGGAGCUGGCUCCAUGGAUACCUGCUGUCGUCAGUCACCUGUAUUGGUGCGCUCUCUCAAGCCGGGUGCAACCUGAGCUAAUUCUAGCAAAGUGGCGCUCCCCUGUCCGUCAUGUCGUCAACAAUCACGUACAUAAUGAGAUCCUUUAUCGAAGGUGCGAGCAUGAGCCAUUGGCUAAGAAGUGGCUGGAAGAAAGUAUGUGGGUGUUCAAAUGUUUUUUUCUUUUCAGUAUUCUUGCAUUAUUUCCAAUGCGCUCCUUUAGCAUCGCCAGCGCACCGAAAACUGACAGCCAUCAUCCUAAACAAGGUUUUGCUCAGACAUUCCUCGACUAUCCACGAGCGCGCAAGCAUUUGCUGUUGAAUGCUUUCAUAGCACCAUCACUCAGUUUGUUCUGAAAAAUAAUCAUUUUGGGUAUUCCAGCAUGGUAGCAAGAACACGCCUUGCUGCACUCCCCUAUAACGAAAAUUGUGCAAGGCAGGAAGCAACCACUGACGGUGUGUGGGACAAAUAGGUGGCUGGUGAAAUAACCGAAGGCGAGAAAGGCUGCCGUUGUCGCACCAGUGAAAGAAUCUUGCACAUACGGCUGUGUGAACGACUUGCUAAGUGUGCUGUGGACCUGUGACGGAAUGCGAGCUCCUACAGGAAGGCAUUGGAGCAUACAAGUAUGAAAGUGCCUCCUCCACUUUCAAGCAACUUCGAA